rnacentral:rRNA from 1 species
AGAUUGAACGCUGGCGGCGUGCUUAACACAUGCAAGUCGAGCGGUAACGCGGGAGCAAUCCUGGCGACGAGCGGCGAACGGGUGAGUAAUGCUUGGGAAUCUGCCCAUUAGUGGGGAACAACCAGCCGGAAGGUUGGCUAAUACCGCAUACGCCCUACGGGGGAAAGCGGGGGAUCGUAAGACCUCGCGCUAAUGGAUGAGCCCAAGUCGGAUUAGCUUGUUGGUAGGGUAACGGCCUACCAAGGCGACAAUCCGUAGCUGGUCUGAGAGGACGACCAGCCACACUGGGACUGAGACACGGCCCAGACUCCUACGGGAGGCAGCAGUGGGGAAUAUUGGACAAUGGGGGCAACCCUGAUCCAGCGACGCCGCGUGUGUGAAGAAGGCCUGCGGGUUGUAAAGCACUUUUAGUGGGGAUGAAAAGCUCAGGGUUACACCUCUGGGUCUUGACCUAACCCACAGAAAAGCACCGGCUAACUCUGUGCCAGCAGCCGCGGU